CCCGGGCGGCGCGCAAAUCCCGCGAGAAGACGCGUGGCGUGGCUUCCCCGCCAGGGCGGAAGUGCCCGGUCGGCGCGGAGGCCACGUGAUCGCGCGCCGCGGCUCCGAUUGGCCCCUGCCGUGCGGGGACAGGUCGCAGCGCACUGGGAUGAGUGCGGGUCUGGUCCGCGCACCUCGGGGUGGCCCGGGACCCUCAUUGCCUAGCUUUGCACCCCGGGACUGUGUCCCGAGUCCCCAGCAGCCUGCAGGGCAGCCCUGCGGAGUGGGGCUUUCUCGCGAAUGCUCCGCAGCUCCAGUGGCGCUGGGAAAGGUGGCCGCUGUCCCCGUGACGUGGCGCCCUGAGGGCCCCUCCCCAGAAAAUCCUGGCACCGGCCGUCUUCCCCUCCCCGCAGGAACCGGGUCCUGCCUGCUAGCCCCUCUGUGGCGUGCCAUGGGGCUACAGGACCACCCCCGUGGGCCCCCGGGGUGAAUGGGCAGUGAGAUCUGCGCAGUGACUCGGUGGCAGGCGUAAUUUCCCUCCUUCCCGGCAGAAGGGGGCAGGCUGACACUGGCCUCAUUCCUGUAGGACUGGAAGUCGCACGUGUGACUUCUGAGUGUCACAGCCCAGCCACGCUCAGGAUUCCUAGGAGCCCUGCCGGAAUGACCCCUUGGUCUCCCAGAUCCAUAUCCUCCUCCAGCUCUCUGCUUCCACUGCUCAUCCUGUUCGUCCUGUGGAUACCUGGAGCGCAGCAUUCCCUCUACAUCUGGCCUUUCUGAGAAGGUUGUUCUGGUUAAGGACCCUCCACUAUCAGCAUUCCUGCAGAGUCUCAAGCUUUGAAGACCACAUGGUCUCUGAAGUUCCCUGUCAUAUCCUGUUGUUCUAGGAACUCUCCCUUCAUGAUCCUUCAUAGUUUCUGUUUCUUUCCGUUUCCAUGGGGGCACUUGGGCUACUGCAGUAGCUAGCAGACUGGUUUCUCUGCUCAUCACACUAGGGAGGCUUACUUAGGGCCUGUCUGGUGCUUCCACCACUCAUCAGAUCCAUUCAGUCUGUUUGCUGAUCCUGUUUCACUUGGGCAUGCUUUCAUCUUUGUUUUUCUGAAUAUCUGCCUUCUGCCUAUAAGAGAUCAGAUACUUCAUUUGGACCAGCUUCACCCCUAAAUGUCAAUUUGUGUUUCUGUUUAUAUCCUGAGAUUAGGCUUGGUUUGAAACACCAAAACCCAGGUGGGAACCUGGGCUUUUUAUCUUGCUUGGGAGGGAAAUUUAGACUCCAUCUUCCACUCAUCUAAAGGAUAAAUACUUCUCUAGUGCCCUUUUCAAAAAUUAAAUAUUUAAUUGAAAUUAAUUAAUAAUGGAAAUGCAUGCAUUUUAGUCUGGUGAGUUUAAAAAAUGUAUAUACCCUGUAAAGGUUACCUGAAUUGACAGAAUAUUUUCACCACCUUUCAAAAUUCCUUUCUGCCUUUUCUCAGUUUCCUUUACUCCUGGACCCAUGUAGUAAAUCUGAUUUCUAUUACAACUAACUUAUUCUGUCCUGUGAUUUCAUAUAAAUGGAAUCACACAGUGUCCACCCUUCUGUGGCUGGCUCUUACACUUGGCACGUUGGUGACCUUCUUCUGUGUAUCAGAACUGAUACUGAAUCUCCUCGCAGUCCCCCACUGACCUCACAGGUGUACUGCAGUUGGUUUAUCCAUCACUUAUUGGUUGACAUCUGAGUUGAUUCCAGUUUUUGGCUAUUAUGAAUAAAGCUGCUGUGAACACAUGAGGAUGAA